GGUGAGUAACGCGUGAGAAUCUGCCCUCUAGGAGGGGGAUAACGGUUGGAAACGACCGCUAAGACCCCAUAUGCCGAGAGGUGAAACAAAUUUUGCCUGAGGAUGAGCUCGCGUCCGAUUAGCUAGUUGGUGUGGUAAGAGCGCACCAAGGCGACGAUCGGUAGCUGGUCUGAGAGGAUGAUCAGCCACACUGGGACUGAGACACGGCCCAGACUCCUACGGGAGGCAGCAGUGGGGAAUUUUCCGCAAUGGGCGAAAGCCUGACGGAGCAAGACCGCGUGAGGGAAGAAGGUCUGUGGAUUGUAAACCUCUUUUGACAGGGAAGAAGUUCUGACGGUACCUGUCGAAUCAGCCUCGGCUAACUCCGUGCCAGCAGCCGCGGUAAUACGGAGGAGGCAAGCGUUAUCCGGAAUUAUUGGGCGUAAAGCGUCCGUAGGUGGAUGUUCAAGUCAGUUGUUAAAGCGCAGGGCUUAACCCUGUAACGGCAAUUGAAACUGAGCGUCUAGAGUGCGAUAGGGGC
rnacentral:rRNA from 1 species